UACGUAGGGCGCAAGCGUUGUCCGGAAUUAUUGGGCGUAAAGAGCUCGUAGGCGGUCUGUCGCGUCGGAUGUGAAAGCCCGGGGCUUAACCCCGGGUCUGCAUUCGAUACGGGCAGACUAGAGUGUGGUAGGGGAGAUCGAAUUCCUGGUGUAGCGGUGAAAUGCGCAGAUAUCAGGAGGAACACCGGUGGCGAAGGCGGAUCUCUGGGCCAUUACUGACGCUGAAGAGCGAAAGCGUGGGGAGCGAACAGG
rnacentral:rRNA from 1 species